rnacentral:rRNA from 1 species
GACGAACGCUGGCGGCGUGCUUAACACAUGCAAGUCGAACGGAAAGGCCCUGCUUUUGUGGGGUGCUCGAGUGGCGAACGGGUGAGUAACAAGUGAGUAACCUGCCCUUGACUUUGGGAUAACUUCAGGAAACUGGGGCUAAUACCGGAUAGGAGCUCCUGCUGCAUGGUGGGGGUUGGAAAGUUUCGGCGGGUGGGGAUGGACUCGCGGCUUAUCAGCUUGUUGGUGGGGUAGUGGCUUACCAAGGCUUUGACGGGUAGCCGGCCUGAGAGGGUGACCGGCCACAUUGGGACUGAGAUACGGCCCAGACUCCUACGGGAGGCAGCAGUGGGGAAUAUUGCACAAUGGGCGGAAGCCUGAUGCAGCAACGCCGCGUGCGGGAUGACGGCCUUCGGGUUGUAAACCGCUUUCGCCUGUGACGAAGCGUGAGUGACGGUAAUGGGUAAAGAAGCACCGGCUAACUACGUG